rnacentral:rRNA from 1 species
AACAGGGAUUGCCCUAGUAACGGCGAGUGAAGCGGCAACAGCUCAAAUUUGAAAUCUGGCCUCGGCCCGAGUUGUAAUUUGCAGAGGAAGCUUUAGGCGCGGCACCUUCUGAGUCCCCUGGAACGGGGCGCCAUAGAGGGUGAGAGCCCCGUAUAGUUGGAUGCCUAGCCUGUGUAAAGCUCCUUCGACGAGUCGAGUAGUUUGGGAAUGCUGCUCAAAAUGGGAGGUAAAUUUCUUCUAAAGCUAAAUACCGGCCAGAGACCGAUAGCGCACAAGUAGAGUGAUCGAAAGAUGAAAAGCACUUUGAAAAGAGGGUUAAAUAGCACGUGAAAUUGUUGAAAGGGAAGCGCUUGUGACCAGACUUGCGCCGGGCUGAUCAUCCGGUGUUCUCACCGGUGCACUCUGCCCGGCUCAGGCCAGCAUCGGUUCUCGCGGGGGGAUAAAGGCCCAGGGAACGUAGCUCCUCCGGGAGUGUUAUAGCCCUGGGUGUAAUGCCCUCGCGGGGACCGAGGUUCGCGCAUCUGCAAGGAUGCUGGCGUAAUGGUCACCAGCGACCCGUCUUGAAACACGGACCAAGGAGUCAAGGUUUUGCGCGAGUGUUUGGGUGUAAAACCCGCACGCGUAAUGAAAGUGAACGUAGGUGAGAGCUUCGGCGCAUCAUCGACCGAUCCUGAUGUUUUCGGAUGGAUUUGAGUAGGAGCGUUAAGCCUUGGACCCGAAAGAUGGUGAACUAUGCUUGGAUAGGGUGAAGCCAGAGGAAACUCUGGUGGAGGCUCGCAGCGGUUCUGACGUGCAAAUCGAUCGUCAAAUCUGAGCAUGGGGGCGAAAGACUAAUCGAACCAUCUAGU